CCUGUACCUCUCUCUGUCUCACUCCACACCUCUGUUUAUCGUAUCACCCCACACAGUGGCGGGAGGAGAGGAUUAUAUUUCAGGGAAUGAUUUGUCAGUUUAGGAGGUAAUAAUGGAUUUGGGCUGAGAGCUAAACAAACAGAACUCUCUCACUGAUCAAGAGAGGCGAUAAGAGGAGAGGAGGGGAGAGAGAGAAGGGAGAGAGGAGAGGAGAGGAAAGAGAGGAAAGAGAGGUGAGAAGAGUAGAGAGAAGAGAGAGGAGAGGAGAGGUGAGGAGAGUAGAGAGUAGAGAGAGGAGCGGAGCGGAGAGGAGAGUAGAGAGAAGAGAGAGGAGCGGAGAGGAGAGGUGAGGAGAGUAGAGAGUAGAGAGAGGAGCGGAGAGGAGAGUAGAGAGAAGAGAGAGGAGCGGAGCGGAGAGGAGAGUACAGAGAAGAGAGAGGAGCGGAGAGGAGAGGUGAGGAGAGUAGAGAGAGGAGCGGAGAGGAGAGUAGAGAGAAGAGAGAGGAGCGGAGAGGAGAGUAGAGAGUACAGAGAAGAGAGAGGAGCGGAGAGGAGAGGUGAGGAGAGUAGAGAGAAGAGAGAGGAGCGGAGAGGAGAGGAGAGGUGAGGAGAGUAGAGAGAAGAGAGAGGAGAGGAGAGGUGAGCAGAGUAGAGAGAAGAGAGAGGAGCGGAGAGGAGAGGAGAGGUGAGGAGAGUAGAGAGAAGAGAGAGGAGAGGAGAGGAGCGGAGAGGAGAGGAGAGGAGAGGAGAGGAGAGGAGAGUAGAGAGAAGAGAGAGGAGCGGAGAGGAGAGGUGAGGAGACGGAGAGGAGAGUAGAGAGAAGAGAGAGGAGCGGAGCGGAGAGGAGAGUAGAGAGUACAGAGAAGAGAGAGGAGCGGAGAGGAGAGGAGCGCGGAGCGGAGAGGAGAGUAGAGAGUAGAGAGAAGAGAGAGGAGCGGAGAGGAGAGGUGAGGAGAGUUUGGCUGUAAAGCUGGGCAGC
ensembl:lncRNA